rnacentral:lncRNA from 1 species
AAAACACUCUAAAGUUUCUAAAACUGUUUGAAUGGUGUCUGUGAGUAUAACAGAACUCAUAUGGCAGGCCAAAACCUGAGAAGAUUCCAUACAGGAAGUGCCCUGUCUGACAAUUUGUUGUCCUUCUGUUGCAUCUCUAUCGAAAAUACAGCAUCUGUGCUGUAACGUGACAUUUUCUAAGGCUUCCAUUGGCUCUCUAAAGCCGCCAGAAAGUGGAAUGGGGUGUCUGCUGUCUCUGGGCGAAGAACAGUAGGAGAAUUUGUAAGUGGUCAGCCUGGGGACAGUGACACUGGAGACUACUCCAUUUUGUUUUCUUUCAGCUUUUGAAUGAAUACAACGUUGCCCGGUUGGAAUAUUAUCGCUAUUUUAUGUGAAACAUAGCAUAAAAAAUGAUUUUAAACAGCGUUUGACAUGCUUCUAAGUACGGUAAUGGAAUAUUUUGCAUUUUUUUGUGACCUGAACGCAUGAACAAAACUGAGCUAUUUGAAUAUAACUAUGGAUUAUUUGGAACCAAAACAACAUUUGUUGUUGAAGUAGAAGUCCUGGGAGUGCAUUCUGACGAAGAACAGCAAAGAUGCACAAUUGAGAGCAUCCUGUCGGGCUGUAUCACCGCCUGGAACGGCAACUGCACUGCUCACAACCGCAGGUCUCUUCAGUGGGUGGUGAGGUCUGCACAACGCAUCACCGGGGGCAAACUACCUGUCCUCCAGGACAGCUACACCACCCGAUGUCACAGGAUGGCCAAAAAGAUCAUCAAGGACAACAACCACCCGAACCACUGCCUGUUCACCCCGCUACCCUCCAGAAGGCGAGUGGAGGAGUUGGGCACUUCUCCAACACAAUCCAUUCAUCCAUGAUGAUCCUUUUUCUGCACCGAAGACUCUGAACACCUCAACCCCCUGUCCUGCACUGAAGUCAAGCCUCUGAACAACUCUACUCAUUCCAGCAAUCGCUGCUGCCCUUACCAACACUACGGUAGCAACAAGAUGAAGCGCUGCGAUGUGUGUGGACCCAAGGACAGGAAGACACAGUACACAUUCAUCAAGUGCAAGAAAUACAUUUGCAUCACAAACACAGUAAAACUCUGUCCCUCAUGUGGUGUGUAGACCGGCGUUAACUUUUGUUCAAUG